CCAAUAGCGUAUAUUAAAGUUGCUGCAGUUAAAAAGCUCGUAGUUGAAUUUCGGGACCAUCAUGUCGGUCGUGCCUCGGUACGUACUGGUAUUGUCGGUUUCUCCCUUCUGACGAACCAUGAUGUCAUUUAUUUGGUGUUGUGGGGAAUCAGGACUGUUACUUUGAAAAAAUUAGAGUGUUUAAAGCAGGCUCACGCUUGAAUACAUUAGCAUGGAAUAAUGAAAUAGGACGUUUGAUUCUAUUUUGUUGGUUUCUAGGAUCGACGUAAUGAUUAAUAGGGAUAGUUGGGGGCAUUAGUAUUCAAUUGUCAGAGGUGAAAUUCUUGGAUUUAUUGAAGACUAACUACUGCGAAAGCAUUUGCCAAGGAUGUUUUCAUUAAUCAAGAACGAAAGUUAGGGGAUCGAAGACGAUCAGAUACCGUCGUAGUCUUAACCAUAAACUAUGCCGACUAGGGAUCGGAUGAUGUUAAUUUUUUAAUGACUCAUUCGGCGCCUUACG
rnacentral:rRNA from 1 species